rnacentral:rRNA from 1 species
UCGAGGAUCUUUCGCAAUGGGCGCAAGCCUGACGAAGCGACGCCGUGUGAGUGAUGAAGGCCUUCGGGUUGUAAAGCUCUUUCGCCUAGGAACAAGAGAAUUUAGUGAAUAACUAGAUGAUUUGAGGGUACUAGGUAAAGAAGCACCGGCUAACUCCGUGCCAGCAGCUGCGGUAAUACGGAGGGUGCAAGCAUUAAUCGGAUUUAUUGGGCGUAAAGGGCGCGUAGGCGGACUUACAAGUCAGAUGUGAAAUUCCGAAGCUCAACUUCGGAGCUGCAUUUGAAACUGUAAGUCUAGAGGAAAGGCGGAGAAAAUGGAAUUCCACAUGUAGCGGUGAAAUGCGUAGAUAUGUGGAAGAACACCGGUGGCGAAAGCGGUUUUCUAGCUUUUAACUGACGCUGAGGCGCGAGAGCAAGGGGAGCAAACAGGAUUAGAUACCCCCGUAGUCC